AUUGAACGCUGGCGGCAUGCCUUACACAUGCAAGUCGAACGGCAGCACGGGAGCAAUCCUGGUGGCGAGUGGCGAACGGGUGAGUAAUAUAUCGGAACGUGCCCAGUCGUGGGGGAUAACGUAGCGAAAGCUACGCUAAUACCGCAUACGAUCUAUGGAUGAAAGCAGGGGAUCGCAAGACCUCGCGCGAUUGGAGCGGCCGAUAUCAGAUUAGGUAGUUGGUGAGGUAAAGGCUCACCAAGCCGACGAUCUGUAGCUGGUCUGAGAGGACGACCAGCCACACUGGGACUGAGACACGGCCCAGACUCCUACGGGAGGCAGCAGUGGGGAACUUUGGACAAUGGGCGCAAGCCUGAUCCAGCAAUGCCGCGUGCAGGAUGAAGGCCUUCGGGUUGUAAACUGCUUUUGUACGGAGCGAAAAGGCUUCCACUAAUACUGGGGGCUCAUGACGGUACCGUAAGAAUAAGCACCGGCUAACUACGUGCCAGCCGCCGCGGUAAGAC
rnacentral:rRNA from 1 species